GAUGAACGCUGGCGGCGCGCCUAAUACAUGCAAGUCGAGCGAACAGACGAGGAGCUUGCUCCUCUGACGUUAGCGGCGGACGGGUGAGUAACACGUGGAUAACCUACCUAUAAGACUGGGAUAACUUCGGGAAACCGGAGCUAAUACCGGAUAAUAUAUUGAACCGCAUGGUUCAAUAGUGAAAGACGGUUUUGCUGUCACUUAUAGAUGGAUCCGCGCCGCAUUGGCUAGUUGGUAAGGUAACGGCUUACCAAGGCAACGAUGCGUAGCCGACCUGAGAGGGUGAUCGGCCACACUGGAACUGAGACACGGUCCAGACUCCUACGGGAGGCAGCAGUAGGGAAUCUUCCGCAAUGGGCGAAAGCCUGACGGAGCAACGCCGCGUGAGUGAUGAAGGUCUUCGGAUCGUAAAACUCUGUUAUUAGGGAAGAACAAAUGUGUAAGUAACUAUGCACGUCUUGACGGUACCUAAUCAGAAAGCCACGGCUAACUACGUG
rnacentral:rRNA from 1 species